rnacentral:lncRNA from 1 species
UGGAAAAUGGAGAAGCUGUGCUAAUAGAGGGGGGCCAGAAAUCCCCACUCUAGAAUGCUGUAGAAUGUUGGGAGACACCCAGGAUGUGAGCCAGGGACUUUCUGGAAGUGUUUGUUCUGGCCCCACCCGACCCCAGGCAGUCCCCAGCUGUCUGCACAGUCGGAUGGGGAGGGGGCUUGCACAGAGUUGGAGCCAGAGGAGAGAGCUGGCUCAUCCCCUACGGUAGGAUGGGGAAACCUCACAGACCACAUUGUCACCCGGCCUCAGCUCUCCGCCCCGGCGCUCAGAGGGUAACUCUCACCCACCUCGUCCGCUUCUCUGAACCAGAGUGACCCAGGCUGCGCUCCGCCCCGCUCUCCUACCCCGAGUUGGCACGGAGGUUUUGGGAAUUGUCUUUGCCUGCUGCCUCGUGAAGAGUAUCAGAAGUGGCUACGAGGUGAUGUAGGGGUCUGGUCUCCUCAGCCUCCUCAUCUGGGGGAGUGGAAUAGUAUCCUCCAGGUUUUUCAAUUAAACGGAUUAUUUUUUCAGACCGAAAAGAGAUGGUCUGAGUUUGUCUUAG